GACGUAGGGGGCAAGCGUUGUUCGGAAUUAUUGGGCGUAAAGCGCGCGUAGGCGGCUUUGCAAGUCGGGUGUGAAAUCCCCAGGCUCAACCUGGGAACUGCAUUCGAGACUGCAUUGCUAGAGUAUGGGAGAGGGAAGUGGAAUUUCAGGUGUAGCGGUGAAAUGCGUAGAUAUCUGAAGGAACAUCAGUGGCGAAAGCGACUUCCUGGACCAAUACUGACGCUCAUGUGCGAAAGCGUGGGGAGCAAACAGG
rnacentral:rRNA from 1 species